UUUUGGGAACGGCCAACAGAAGUGCGUAGUCUAUCAUUUGCUGGACAACUGGGUUCUUGUUUGCGUUGUUGCUCUCCGACAAAAAUCUCAGAGGCUGUCCCGGAGUUAGUGCCGAUGGUGGUCGGAGCAGAGAGAAAGACCGGCAGAUUCUCGCCGCCUCGCGAACCUUUGCUUCAAUGCCCAUCAUUUUUAGCCAAAUGAUUCUUUGACUGUGAUUCAGCUGUUUUUUUUCUUUUUGACUUUGAUAUUCUUCCUAAAGAGCACACGGUUGAGUCUGCGGAGACUCAGGUGGAAGGGAGCCCGAAGAAUCGAGAUUUUGGCGGUGGGCUUGGCAGAGAUUUACAGGUGAAUGUAUAGUCGAUCACUGCUAAUUACAGGCUUGGCUGAGAUUUGUUUGGAUUGCGAAAAAUUACGUCAUUUUCGUGAUCACAUUUCUCUAUCACAUUUUUCACUCACAUACAUUAAAUUAUUACAAUAAUUUUUUCAUAAAAAAUCAUGAAAAUGCAAUCCAAACAGUUUUUUCUGUAAAAUUAGUCUAUAAAUUUGUUUAGCGAAACAAGGAGAAUUAAUUGGAUAAAUAAUUAAAUGGUUUGCAUAAAGGAUGUCUUUUUUUUUUUCCCGAAAACGAUAGAAGAUAUUUUAUAAAUUCUCAAACUAUAGAAUAUUUGAGCAACGGCUCAAUCAACUUUACAAAGUGUACCGUGACACUUAAGGAGAGCCAAAAAAUCUCUCCUCAUCCAUAAGUAUGUUUAGAGCAUAAUGGCUAAUUUGAUUACUUAAAGACAUAUUAAUAAUAUUCCUAACUUCAAAAGAGCACAUUUGAAACAGAUUAACUAACACAUUUAUGUCUUCGACCAGUGUAGCAGUAUUCGGAUUAUCACCUUUUCCAGCUUUUAGCCAGGCAAUGAGUUGCUUGUUAGCACUAAUGACUUUGAUUCUUUGCCAUCCUUGUUGUCUUGCUUUCAUUAGUGCCAAUCUUACUGCUACAG
rnacentral:lncRNA from 1 species